UUGAAAGUGUUGCUGCAGGGGACCUUCCGCGAUUAAGCUUAUUUCAAGAAACAUCGUCUUUCAGCUGAAAACUGGAAAAGUCGUGUCGAGAGCAGAAGGGAGAGGACAGCAGCCGUUUCUGAAGCUUCUGCCAGUGAUCGGGUUUUCGCCUUCGCAGACGUACUGCACCUUACUGUUCAAGGUAGCACCAUGGGCAUAUUCGCACUUCUGGUGGUAACAUUGGUAGUGG